rnacentral:tmRNA from 1 species
GGGGCUGAGCUGGAUUUGACAGCGGGUUAAACUGGUAUGUAAGCAUGCCGAGCGUGGGGGUUUGGCUCGUUAAUCCCAGGUCUCAUACUUAUAAUUGGCGAUAAUAAUUAUGCUCUCGCUGCUUAAUUUUACUCAGUAAAAUUAG